GUUUGGCCACUCUUAAGUAUCAGGUGAUAUAACCUGAACUUGCUCUUUAAGUACAUAUUGCUCAUAUAAUCCUUCAUCCGAUAUAUAUGACAUUUAGUGGCAAAACCAAUAACAGUAAGGCUUAUUUUUCUUUCUUGGUUGCUUGUGCAAAUGAGUUUUUCUAAGAAACACGUUUUCCCAUUAUGCAGUUGCUUCGUAAUAGACUUGUU
rnacentral:misc_RNA from 1 species